CAAAAACAUCGCCUCUUGAUAAAACAUAAGAGGUCCCGCCUGCCCACUGACUAAUAGUUUAACGGCCGCGGUAUCUUAACCGUGCAAAGGUAGCACAAUAAAUUGUUCUCUAAAUAAGGACUAGUAUGAAUGGCACCACGAGGGCUUAACUGUCUCCCCCAUCUAAUCAAUGAAACUGAUCUUCUCGUGAAGAAGCGAGAAUAUUUAUAUAAGACGAGAAGACCCCAUGGAGCUUUAAACUCAUUACCAUUUACUUAAAUUAAAUCACUAUAAACAGUAAAAAUGUUCUUAAUAGUUUUCGGCUGGGGUGACCCUGGAGUAAAAUAAAUCCUCCAGAAUGAAAGAAUAAAUAACUCUAAUCAAAGAAUUACAAUUCUAAGAAUCAAAAACUUGACAUUAAUGAUCCAAUUACUUGAUCAACGAACCAAGUUACCCUGGGGAUAACAGCGCAAUCCAUUUCAAGAGCUCCUAUCGACAAAUGGGUUUACGACCUCGAUGUUGGAUCGGGGUAUCCUAGUGGCGCAGCCGCUACUAAUGGUUCGUUUGUUCAACGAUUAAUAACCCCACGUGAUCU
rnacentral:rRNA from 1 species